rnacentral:misc_RNA from 1 species
UGUGGGAGCGGGCUUGCCUGCGAUAGCGAUGUAUCAGUCACUGAUGAUGUUGACUGGUCUGACGCCAUCGCGGGCAAGCCCGCUCCCACA